CCUUACUAUAAGUAAUUAUCAGUUUUCUAAUACCUUCAAGUCCAAUGGGUCGCCGAUUAAUGUACCGUCAAUUAAAGUCAAGGCUGUAAUGCAAUGAUGUAAUUAGUCAAGAUCUAUGUACUUGAUUGAUAAAUAUAACUACCGAGAAAUUUUAAAAAUUAAAACGGCUUUCACAACCAAAUACAUUUCACUUCAGUUAAGGAAAAUUAAGCGUUUCUUGGAAGAAGUCAAUCCUACGACAAAACAUUAAUUAACUCACAAUGACAAGCUGCCAUUCCGAUAAACAAUGGUCCGGGUGCCAGUUUGCUCACUUCUCGAACUGGGGUUUGGAACGUCGCAAAGUCUUCGGACGUCUCAUCGUCCAACUUCCUCGUUUCACAGCUGGAUGGAACAGCCCCCCACAAGUCCAACCCCUCCUCUGUCAGCGUCCCAGUCUGACAACAGAAUAUGAAGUAAUGAUCCAUGCUACUCACUCAAGCUUUAUGUAUAAAAAAACUAAAUACUUUGAUGAAUAGAUUUUCAUCAAAUGGAUCAUGUUCUCCUUUAUGACUUUUCAAUGAGUUUUCAUACAAAUACAUAUUAGUGUGCACUCAGCUGAAUAGAAAACAGAGAAAACAAGGACUAGUGAUUUCCAGCUCGUGUAGGUCACCUAUAAAGGAACGACAGGUGGCUAAUUUCUGCAGUAUUAAUACAGUAUUUCCAGUUUUAUGGUCAAGACACAGACUUCAAUAAACUAUGGAAUGACAUAAAUAUUUGAGCUAAAAAACAAGUGUGAAUUGGCUUCUGUAUAAUAUACAUACACAAGUUUUGGUUUCCAUAAAUUACUAAAUGACAUUUCCAAAUAAAUAGUAAAAUACACAACACUAACCU